rnacentral:rRNA from 1 species
UACGUAGGGGGCAAGCGUUGUCCGGAUUUAUUGGGCGUAAAGAGCGUGUAGGCGGUUCGGUAGGUCCGUUGUGAAAACUCGAGGCUCAACCUCGAGACGCCGAUGGAAACCCCCGAACUAGAGUCCGGAAGAGGAGAGUGGAAUUCCUGGCGUAGCGGUGAAAUGCGCAGAUAUCAGGAAGAACACCCGUGGCUAAGGCGGCUCUCUGGGACGGUACUGACGCUGAGACGCGAAAGCGUGGGGAGCGAACAGG